CAGCAGCCGCGGGAAUACGAAGGGAGCUAGCGUUGUUCGGAAUUACUGGGCGUAAAGGGCGCGUAGGCGGCCAUUCAAGUUAGAUGUGAAAGCCCUGGGCUCAACCUAGGAAUUGCAUUUGAUACUGUUUGGCUUGAGUUCGGGAGAGGUGAGUGGAAUUCCCAGUGUAGAGGUGAAAUUCGUAGAUAUUGGGAAGAACACCAGUGGCGAAGGCGGCUCACUGGACCGACACUGACGCUGAGGCGCGAAAGCGUGGGGAGCAAACAGGAUUAGAUACCCCUGUAGUCCCUGUCUCUUAUAC
rnacentral:rRNA from 1 species